AUUGAACGCUGGCGGCAGGCUUAACACAUGCAAGUCGAGCGGAGUGAUGGUGCUUGCACUAUCACUUAGCGGCGGACGGGUGAGUAAUGCUUAGGAAUCUGCCUAUUAGUGGGGGACAACAUCUCGAAAGGGAUGCUAAUACCGCAUACGUCCUACGGGAGAAAGCAGGGGAUCACUUGUGACCUUGCGCUAAUAGAUGAGCCUAAGUCGGAUUAGCUAGUUGGUGGGGUAAAGGCCUACCAAGGCGACGAUCUGUAGCGGGUCUGAGAGGAUGAUCCGCCACACUGGGACUGGGACACGGCCCAGACUCCUACGGGAGGCAGCAGUGGGGAAUAUUGGACAAUGGGGGGAACCCUGGUCCAGCCAUGCCGCGUGUGUGAAGAAGGCCUUAUGGUUGUAAAGCACUUUAAGCGAGGAGGAGGCUCUUUUGGUUAAUACCCAAGAUGAGUGGACGUUACUCGCAGAAUAAGCACCGGCUAACUCUGUGCCAGCAGCCGCCGUAA
rnacentral:rRNA from 1 species